rnacentral:rRNA from 1 species
AUGAACGCUGGGCGGCGUGCCUAACACAUGCAAGUCGAACGGAGUUGUCACCAUGAAGUUUUCGGAUGGAAUGGAGGCAACUUAGUGGCGGACGGGUGAGUAACGCGUGGGUAACCUGCCUCAUACUGGGGGAUAACAGCUGGGAACGGCUGCUAAAACCGCAUAAGAUCGCAUCACCGCAUGGUGAGGCGGUUAAAUAUCGAAAGAUAGGUAUGAGAUGGGCCCGCGUCUGAUUAGCUAGUUGGUGAGAUAAGAGCCCACCAAGGCGACGAUCAGUAGCCGGCUUGAGAGAGUGACCGGCCACAUUGGGACUGAGACACGGCCCAAACUCCUACGGGAGGCAGCAGUGGGGAAUAUUGCACAAUGGGGGAAACCCUGAUGCAGCGACGCCGCGUGAGUGAAGAAGUGCUUCGGCAUGUAAAGCUCUAUCAGCAGGGAAGAAGAUGACGGUACCUGACUAAGAAGCCCCGGCUAACUACGUG